rnacentral:rRNA from 1 species
UACGGAGGGUGCAAGCGUUAUCCGGAUUCACUGGGUUUAAAGGGUGCGUAGGUGGGCUGGUAAGUCAGUGGUGAAAUCUCCAGGCUUAACUUGGAAACUGCCAUUGAUACUAUCAGUCUUGAAUACCGUGGAGGUCAGCGGAAUAUGUCAUGUAGCGGUGAAAUGCUUAGAUAUGACAUAGAACACCAAUUGCGAAGGCAGCUGGCUACACGAAUAUUGACACUGAUGCACGAAAGCGUGGGGAGCAAACAGG